ensembl:lncRNA
GUUUUUCCUGAUUGAUUUCAGAAGGUGAGGGACAUCAAAAAUCACAGGAACCCUCUGAACCCCCACCAGGAUACAGUGGGACUCCUCACCUCCCAGAGGGUCCAGGCUAGCCCCAAGCCCUAUAUGAUGUAGGUGGCGAAUGGCAUCCUUAAUGACGGUAGCAAUAUCAUCUGCUGGCAUUGAAGAUGGGGAAAAGAAGUAACCAACCGUCUGUUGAAAGACAUGCUUUAGGACGAGCGUACACAUCCUCUGCACAGGGGUCAUGGUGGCGGCGAUGACUCCCAUUUGGGAGAUGAUUCCCUGUAGGAAGCCAGG